AUGGCGGAUGCACCUCUGUACAAGCAGCGCCACAAGUACACCAGGGAGCUCCACGACGUCCACCUCCACGGCAAUCACAAGCUCCACGUCCUUUGCACAAGCAAGGGCAAAGACGUGGACAAGAUGCUGCCCACGUUCAGGAGGAAGCUCGGUGGAAUGCCCGUCAAACUAGUAGGUGUUGAUGUCGAGUACACACACUACGAGAAGCCACAGCAUGCAGCGGUGCUACAGCUAUGCGUACAAAAAGAAUGCCUUGUCUACCACAUAUCUUCAGCUAAAGACAGGCCAAUGGAACUAGACAAAUUCCUGAUGAAUGAUGAGUACACCUUCGUCGGAUUCGCUAUUGAAGGAGACUAA
rnacentral:rRNA from 1 species